rnacentral:rRNA from 1 species
GACGAACGCUGGCGGCGUGCCUAAUACAUGCAAGUCGAGCGAAGUUUUUCUGGUGCUUGCACUAGAAAAACUUAGCGGCGAACGGGUGAGUAACACGUAAAGAACCUGCCUCAUAGACUGGGACAACUAUUGGAAACGAUAGCUAAUACCGGAUAACAGUAUUUCUCGCAUGAGAGAUAUUUAAAAGUUGGUUAUGCUAACACUAUGAGAUGGCUUUGCGGUGCAUUAGCUAGUUGGUGGGGUAAAGGCCCACCAAGGCGACGAUGCAUAGCCGACCUGAGAGGGUGAUCGGCCACACUGGGACUGAGACACGGCCCAGACUCCUACGGGAGGCAGCAGUAGGGAAUCUUCCGCAAUGGGCGAAAGCCUGACGGAGCAACGCCGCGUGAGUGAAGAAGGAUUUCGGUUCGUAAAGCUCUGUUGUUAGGGAAGAAUGGAUAUGUAGUAACUAUACAUGUAAGAGACGGUACCUAACCAGAAAACCACGGCUAACUACGUG